GACGGAGGGUGCUAGCGUUGUUCGGAAUUACUGGGCGUAAAGGGCGCGUAGGCGGCUUCUUGCGUCGGAUGUGAAAGCCCGGGGCUCAACCUCGGAACGGCAUCCGAUACGGGGGAGCUGGAGACCGGGAGAGGAGGGUGGAAUAGCCAGUGUAGAGGUGAAAUUCGUAGAUAUUGGCUGGAACACCGGUGGCGAAAGCGGCUCUCUGGCCCGGUUCUGACGCUGAGGCGCGAAAGCGUGGGGAGCAAACAGG
rnacentral:rRNA from 2 species